rnacentral:rRNA from 1 species
AGGACGAACGCUGGCGGCGUGCUUAACACAUGCAAGUCGAGCGGAAAGGCCCUUCGGGGUACUCGAGCGGCGAACGGGUGAGUAACACGUGAGUAACCUGCCUCUAGCUUCGGGAUAGCUCCGGGAAACCGGAAUUAAUACCGGAUAUGACCACGGCCGACAUCGGCCACGGUGGAAAGAUUUAUCGGCUAGAGAUGGGCUCGCGGCCUAUCAGCUUGUUGGUGGGGUAACAGCCUACCAAGGCGACGACGGGUAGCCGGCCUGAGAGGGCGACCGGCCACACUGGGACUGAGACACGGCCCAGACUCCUACGGGAGGCAGCAGUGGGGAAUAUUGCGCAAUGGGCGAAAGCCUGACGCAGCGACGCCGCGUGGGGGAUGAAGGCCUUCGGGUUGUAAACCCCUUUCGGCAGGGACGAAGCGAAAGUGACGGUACCUGCAGAAGAAGCGCCGGCUAACUACGCGCCAGCAGCCGC